GAUGAACGCUAGCGGCAGGCCUAAUACAUGCAAGUCGAGGGGUAACAGGGAAGCUUGCUUCCGCUGACGACCGGCGCACGGGUGCGUAACGCGUAUACAAUCUGCCCUUAACUGGAGCAUAGCCACUGGAAACAGUGAUUAAUACUCCAUAACACUGCACGAUCGCAUGAGAGAGCAGUUAAAGAAUUUCGGUUAAGGAUGAGUAUGCGUGACAUUAGCUAGUUGGUGAGGUAACGGCUCACCAAGGCAACGAUGUCUAGGGGUUCUGAGAGGAUGAUCCCCCACACUGGUACUGAGACACGGACCAGACUCCUACGGGAGCAGCAGUAGGGAAUAUUGGGCAAUGGAGGCAACUCUGACCCAGCCAUGCCGCGUGCAGGAUGAAGGCGUUCUGCGUUGUAAACUGCUUUUAAUGGGAAAAAAGCCUUGCGAGACAAACUGACGGUACCAUAUGAAUAGCACC
rnacentral:rRNA from 1 species